GUUCUCUGCUGACAAGCCCCUCUGUAAAGUGCAGCCAUGUCUUCAGACUCUGAGAUGGCCAUCUUUGGAGAGGCGGCUCCUUACCUCCGAAAGUCAGAAAAGGAGAGAAUUGAGGCCCAGAACAAGCCUUUCGAUGCCAAGACAUCCGUCUUUGUGGUGCAUCCUAAAGAAUCCUUUGUGAAAGGAACAAUCCAGAGCAAAGAAUCAGGGAAGGUCACCGUCAAGACUGAAGGUGGAGAGAGCCUGACUGUGAAGGAAGAUCAAAUCUUCUCCAUGAACCCUCCCAAGUACGAUAAAAUUGAGGACAUGGCCAUGAUGACCCACCUCCAUGAACCUGCUGUGCUGUACAACCUCAAAGAGCGUUAUGCAGCCUGGAUGAUCUACACCUACUCGGGUCUCUUCUGCGUCACUGUCAACCCCUACAAGUGGCUGCCGGUGUACAACCCGGAGGUGGUGUUGGCCUACCGAGGCAAGAAGCGCCAGGAGGCCCCUCCACACAUCUUCUCCAUCUCUGACAAUGCCUAUCAGUUCAUGCUGACUGAUCGCGAGAACCAGUCGAUCCUGAUCACCGGAGAAUCUGGUGCAGGGAAGACUGUGAACACAAAGCGUGUCAUCCAGUACUUUGCAACAAUUGCAGCGAGUGGGGAGAAGAAGAAGGAGGAGCAGUCAGGCAAAAUGCAGGGAACGCUUGAGGAUCAAAUCAUCAGCGCCAACCCACUGCUGGAGGCCUUUGGAAAUGCCAAGACCGUGAGGAAUGACAAUUCCUCACGCUUUGGCAAAUUCAUUCGAAUCCACUUUGGAGCCACAGGCAAACUGGCUUCUGCUGACAUUGAAACAUAUCUGCUGGAGAAAUCCAGAGUCACUUUCCAGCUCAAGGCAGAAAGAAGCUACCACAUAUUCUAUCAGAUCAUGUCCAACAAGAAGCCAGAGCUAAUUGACAUGCUCCUCAUUACCACCAACCCAUAUGACUACCACUUUGUGAGUCAAGGUGAGAUCACGGUUCCCAGCAUUAACGACCAGGAAGAGCUGAUGGCUACAGAUAGUGCCAUUGACAUCCUGGGCUUCACUGCUGAUGAAAAAACAGCCAUUUACAAGCUGACAGGGGCUGUCAUGCACUACGGGAACUUGAAGUUCAAGCAGAAGCAGCGUGAGGAACAGGCAGAGCCGGAUGGCACAGAAGUUGCUGACAAGGCUGCCUACCUCAUGGGUCUGAACUCAGCUGACCUGCUCAAGGCUCUCUGCUACCCCCGAGUCAAGGUUGGGAAUGAAUAUGUGACCAAGGGUCAAACUGUGCAGCAGGUGAACAAUUCAGUGGGUGCUCUGGCAAAGGCUGUCUAUGAGAAGAUGUUCCUGUGGAUGGUUGUUCGUAUCAACCAACAGCUGGAUACGAAGCAGCCCAGACAGUACUUCAUUGGUGUCCUGGACAUUGCUGGCUUCGAGAUCUUUGAUUUCAACAGCCUGGAGCAGCUGUGCAUCAACUUCACCAAUGAGAAACUGCAACAGUUCUUCAACCACCACAUGUUCGUGCUGGAACAGGAGGAGUACAAGAAGGAGGGAAUUGAAUGGACAUUCAUUGACUUCGGGAUGGACCUGGCUGCCUGCAUUGAGCUCAUUGAAAAACCCAUGGGCAUCUUCUCCAUCCUGGAAGAGGAGUGCAUGUUCCCCAAGGCAACUGACACCUCUUUCAAGAACAAGCUCUAUGACCAACAUCUGGGCAAGUCCAACAACUUCCAGAAGCCCAAGCCUGGCAAAGGCAAGGCUGAGGCCCACUUCUCCCUGGUGCACUAUGCUGGCACAGUGGACUACAACAUCUCUGGCUGGCUGGAGAAGAAUAAGGAUCCCUUGAAUGAAACUGUCAUUGGGCUGUAUCAGAAAUCAUCUGUGAAGACACUGGCAUUACUUUUUGCCUCUGCUGGAGGAGAGGCAGAGGCUAGUGGUGGUGGUGGCAAGAAAGGUGGCAAGAAGAAGGGUUCUUCUUUCCAGACUGUCUCAGCUCUUUUCCGGGAGAACCUAAACAAGCUGAUGACCAAUCUACGGAGCACUCACCCCCAUUUUGUUCGUUGCAUCAUCCCAAAUGAAACAAAAACACCUGGUGCCAUGGAGCAUGAACUGGUACUUCACCAGCUGCGGUGUAACGGCGUGCUGGAAGGCAUCAGAAUUUGCAGGAAAGGUUUCCCCAGCAGAGUCCUCUAUGCUGACUUCAAACAAAGGUGAGAGCUAUGA